GUUGGAGGUAGAGCACUGAUUUAACUAUGUGUCCUCAUCGGAUUACCGAAUUCAGUCAAACUCCGAAUGCCAAUGACUUUUCCUUAGGAGUCAGACUGCGAGUGAUAAGAUCCGUAGUCAAGAGGGAAACAGCCCAGAUCGCCAGCUAAGGUCCGAAUCUGUUGAUUAAGUGGAAGAGGAUGUGGAGUUGCUUAGACAACUAGGAUGUUGGCUUAGAAUCAGCCACCAUUUAAAGAU
rnacentral:rRNA from 1 species